rnacentral:lncRNA from 1 species
AAGGUUAAAAUAUAAUGUGGUUGAUUAAAUUAUAGUUGACAGUUAAAUCUUAGGUCACCUUGAGCAUUAGGGUUAAAGGGAUGAAUUAUACGAUAACUAUAUGCCAGUAAGUUCUAAAAGGUUGCUUUGCAAUACUUUGACCUAUCUGGUCGUCGGGUCACCAUUGCUAGAUAGUUAUAUUGAUUGGUAUAAAAAAUUAUUACUAUGCUACCGCCUA